GGACAAGACGUGUUCACAGACACACAACUAGGAAGUUUUGAACCCAGACACAUUUGAUUUCAAAGCCUGUGUGCUUCCUUCUGUGUGCUUCCUUUUGGCCUCUGUUUUGGUCCCCAUGACCCGAUAAAGAUGUUCGUUUACACUCUAGGCAACUUCCAUUGCUCUGAGCACUGGGAUUCUGUCCACAUCUCAGACACUGUCAUUGAUCCUGGUGGGCACCCUUGUCUGUCAAACUAUAAAAGAAGAAAUACUCAACAUUGGGUAAUUUAUAAAGAAAAGAGGUUUAAUUGACUCACAGUUCUGCAUGGCUGGGGAGGCCUCAGGAAACUUACAAUCAUGGCAGAUGGCACCUUUUCACAGGGUGGCCGGAGAGAGAAAAGAGUGCCAGCAGGGGAAAUGCCAGACGCUUCUAAAACCAUCAGAUCUUGUGAGAACUCACUCACUAUCACAAGAACGGCAUGGAGGAAACCACCCCCAUGAUUCAGUUACCUCCCACCAGGUCCCUCGCACAAAAUGUGGGAAUUAUGGGAGCUUCUAUUCAAGAUGAGAUUUGGAUGGGGACAUAGCCAAACCAUACCACAAGCCAAGGUGAUUUCAUUUGAAACCUAGGUUUACUCUGAUGGAUACCCUGACUGGUCAAUGGGCAGACAGGCCACCACCCCCUCCCCUCUGGACCCUACAUGGCAAAAGGCUUGGCAGACGUGACAAAGUGAAGAGUCUUGAGAUGGGGAGAUGAUCCUGCAUUGUCUGGAUGGGCUGGGUGUGGUCGUGACAGUUUUCAUAAGAGGGCUGCAGGACUACACUUUCUUCCUGAGAGGGUUCCUAACUUCUCUGAAGUCAAGUUGAGCGUCCACAUCUAAAGCC
rnacentral:lncRNA from 10 species